rnacentral:misc_RNA from 1 species
UUAAGUUCAGCGGGUAUUCCUACCUGAUCCGAGGUCAAACUCAUGAAAGUCGGGGGUUUUACGGCGUGGUCUUACCGCGUUCCAAUGCGAGGUGUGCUACUACGCAAGGGAAGCUGCAGCGAGACCGCCACUAAAUUUGGGAGACGGCGCCGCCCCGGGGGGCAGUCCGAUCUCCAGCACCGCAGCCCAGAUGGGCGCGA